GGCAUCACGAGGGUUAAACUGUCUCCUUUUUCAUAUCAGUGAAACUGAUCUCUCCGUGAAGAAGCGGAGAUAAAUCUAUAAGACGAGAAGACCCCAUGGAGCUUUAAACCCAACUACACCCCAACCCAAUUUUUACUUCUUAACUUUAGGGUCCUGUAUGUUCUGGUUUUAGGUUGGGGUGACCGCGGAGUAAAAAUUAACCUCCACAAUGAACAGAUUUUCUCUUAAUCUAAGAACUACACUUCUAAGAAUUAGAAUUCUAACAUAAAAUGAUCCGAUAUUU
rnacentral:rRNA from 1 species